GAUGAACGCUGGCGGCGUGCCUAAUACAUGCAAGUCGAGCGAAUGGAUUAAGAGCUUGCUCUUAUGAAGUUGGCGGCGGACGGGUGAGUAACACGUGGGUAACCUGCCCAUAAGACUGGGAUAACUCCGGGAAACCGGGGCUAAUACCGGAUAACAUUUUGAACCGCAUGGUUCGAAAUUGAACGGCGGCUUCGGCUGUCACUUAUGGAUGGACCCGCGUCGCAUUAGCUAGUUGGUGAGGUAACGGCUCACCAAGGCAACGAUGCGUAGCCGACCUGAGAGGAGGAUAGGCCACACUGGGACGGAGACACGGCCCAGACUCCUACGGGAGGCAGCAGUAGGGAAUCUUCCGCAAUGGGCGAAAGUCUGACGGAGCAACGCCGCGUGAGUGAUGAAGGCUUUCGGGUCGUAAAACUCUGUUGUUAGGGAAGAACAAGUGCUAGUUGAAUAAGCUGGCACCUUGACGGUACCUAACCAGAAAGCCACGGCUAACUACGUGCCAGCCGCCGCAGUAA
rnacentral:rRNA from 1 species